rnacentral:siRNA from 1 species
CUGAUGUGGACGGCUGAGAUGG